rnacentral:sRNA from 1 species
UUAGGAUCUCCAAAUCCACGUCUACUCAAAACGCAGUUUCCAAAAGCCCGUUUGAGAGAAUGGCUUCGGGUGAAUACAGAUUUCCCCCUCAGAAGCAGUACACACAGCCUGGCAAAGAGUAUCUGAUGAAUCCACCACCCCAAUAUAGCAGUCCAGAUUACAAACCAUCCAAUAAACUUCAAGGGAAGGUGGCUGUAGUAACUGGAGGUGACUCCGGAAUCGGAAGAGCAGUGUGUAACUUGUUUUCAUUGGAGG